rnacentral:lncRNA from 1 species
AAAAGAAUCCACGGAGGUUCCCCAUAAAAAUGCACAUACACCCAGAACUUUCACACAAUUUCAGACUCCUAGAAGCCUAUCCACAGACCCUAGAAUGAUGAAUCAGUCUCACUCCAGAGACUCGCAGAGCCUGAGACAUCUCCGUUGGCCCUUGAUGACCACUGUGGUAAAUUGUAUUACUGUUCACCAAGAGCUGGUUCCCUCAGUGUGCGAGUUUUCUUUCACAUCCCCUUGAAGCCAGGCUUGCUUAUUUACGCUGCUCU